rnacentral:rRNA from 1 species
GAUCAUGGCUCAGGAUGAACGCUAGCGACAGGCUUAACACAUGCAAGUCGAGGGGCAGCGAGGGAGUGGCAACACUUCUGUCGGCGACCGGCGCACGGGUGAGUAACGCGUAUGCAACCUGCCCUUCACAGGGGGGAUAACCGGGAGGAAAUUCCGACUAUACCGCAUACGUCCUCCGGGGGCAUCCCCGGGGGAUCGAAAGAAUUAUCGGUGAGGGAUGGGCAUGCGUGAUAUUAGGUAGUUGGCGGGG